UGGGGAAUAUUGGACAAUGGGGGGAACCCUGAUCCAGCCAUGCCGCGUGUGUGAAGAAGGCCUUAUGGUUGUAAAGCACUUUAAGCGAGGAGGAGGCUACUUUAGUUAAUACCUAGAGAUAGUGGACGUUACUCGCAGAAUAAGCACCGGCUAACUCUGUGCCAGCAGCCGCGGUAAUACAGAGGGUGCGAGCGUUAAUCGGAUUUACUGGGCGUAAAGCGUGCGUAGGCGGCUUAUUAAGUCGGAUGUGAAAUCCCCGAGCUUAACUUGGGAAUUGCAUUCGAUACUGGUGAGCUAGAGUAUGGGAGAGGAUGGUAGAAUUCCAGGUGUAGCGGUGAAAUGCGUAGAGAUCUGGAGGAAUACCGAUGGCGAAGGCAGCCAUCUGGCCUAAUACUGACGCUGAGGUACGAAAGCAUGGGGAGCAAACAGGAUUAGAUACCCUGGUAGUCCAUGCCGUAAACGAUGUCUACUAGCCGUUGGGGCCUUUGAGGCUUUAGUGGCGCAGCUAACGCGAUAAGUAGACCGCCU
rnacentral:rRNA from 1 species